UGGCUCAGUUCAGCAGGAACA
rnacentral:ncRNA from 4 species